UACGAGGGGGGCGAGCGUUGUUCGGAAUUACUGGGCGUAAAGGGCGCGUAGGCGGUCAGCACAAGUCAGUUGUGAAAUCUCCGGGCUUAACUCGGAAAGGUCAACUGAUACUGUGCGACUAGAGUGCGGAAGGGGCAACUGGAAUUCUCGGUGUAGCGGUGAAAUGCGUAGAUAUCGAGAGGAACACCUGCGGCGAAGGCGGGUUGCUGGGCUGACACUGACGCUGAGGCGCGAAAGCUAGGGGAGCAAACAGG
rnacentral:rRNA from 1 species